GUCAGACACACACACACACACACACACACUCACAUACACACACACACACACACACACACACACACAAAUACAAAAACUCACAUACACAAACCCAAUAAAUAUAUACACACAGACAAAUACAUACACUCAUGUUCACACACACUUAACCAAAUUGCACUCCUCCAAAACAUGCUGUCAUCACAAUACUACUCAUGAAACAGGCUGUACACAUACCCACAUACUUAUCACAAAGUAUCCCACAUACUAAUCACAAAGUCUCUCUAUCAAACAUACACACAUGUUGUGCCUGAGUCUCCGUCUGGCUGUAGACUAUGUGUGUGUCCCCUUCUGGCUGUGGUGAGAGGGGUGUGUGUGGGUGUGUGUGUGUGUGUGUGUGUCCUUCUGGCUGUGGUGAGGGGUGUGUGUGUGUGUGUGUGUGUCCUUCCUGCUGUGUUGAGGGGUGGGUGUGUGUGUGUGUCUCAGCUGUGGUAGUGUCUGAAAUGUCACAUGAAUCUCCCCGUCUCCCUUCUGGCUGCAGUGCUAAUUUGUGUGUGUGUGUGUUCUAACUGUGUAGAAGAGUGUGUGUCUAUCUCUCCCUGUGGCUGUUGUGAGAGAUCUGUGUGUGCCUAUUAGCAGUAGAUGUGUGUUAAAUGUGAGGAGCAUGGCACUGUGCUUUGGGAUGUGUGUGUCUGUGUGAGGGUGUGUGUUUUGGGAUGUGAGUGAGUAACAAACAACACAAUGUUAAAGUAACAAGUCCAAGGCUCUGUGGAGAUAGGCCCCCUCUUAUCAUGAGCUCAUCACGUGUCACACAUACAGUCCUAUUGUGUCCGUGAAAUAUAGUACAUGUGGAUACUGACAUAUGCAAAAACUAGGUUUGGCUGGUUUCUAUCAAGACUAGAGGUGUGUGUGUGUGUGUGUGUGUGUGUGUGUGUGUGUGUGUGUGUGUGUGUGUGUGUGUGUGUGUGUGUGUGUGUGAGAGAGAGAGAGAGAGAGAGCAAAAUGUGUGUUCAAGGAGGGCUGGAUGUGUGGGCUCUCUGCGUGUAUGUAUCGUUGGGAGAAGCUGGAUGUCAAAUUAUGGGGUGUGUGCUAAAUAAUGUGUGUGUGUGCGCAGAUGUAUAGGCAAUGUAUGUCACAUGGUGGCACAUGUGUGUGUGUGUGUGUGUCCUGCAGAUGUAUAGGCUGUGUAUGUCACAUGGUUCCCUAUCUGCCGUAGGGAAACCCCCAUAGUCCUGACAUGUUCCUCGUGUUACUUAUUAGAGAGGGGAGCUUGUACGCACCAUAACGUAUGUUACAUGCAUAAGAACUCAGGGACCAAAAGGGAACAGCAUAUCUUUUAAAACGUACGCACAGGAUAAAGAAAUUGACUAAACACAUUGAUUUGUAAAACACAUUUAUCAAAGUGUGUAUGUGUGUGUUUGUGUGUGAGAGAGAGAGUGUGAAGGGAGGCAAAGUGUGUGUGUGUGUGUGUCAUGGGAGGGUUGGAUGUGUGGGCUCUCUGUGUGUAUGUAUCUGUCAGUUGGGAGAAGCUGUAUGUCAAAUUAUGGGGUGUGUGUGUUAAAUAAUGAGUGUGUGUGAAAGGCCGUGUGCUAAAUAAUCAGUGUGUGUGUGUGUGCUAGAUCUGUGGCAUGUGUUAGGAUCUGUUAGUGGUGUUACUUAAGUAAUGCACUGUGUGUGUGUGUGUGUGUGUGUGUGUGUGUGUGUGUGUGUGUGUGUGUGUGUGCAUGGAAGGCUGUGUGCUAAAUAAUCAGUGUGUGUGUGUGUGUGUGUGUGCUAGAUCUGUGGCAUGUGUUAGGAUCUGUUAGUAGUUUUACUUAAGUAAUGCACUGUGUGUGUGUGUGCAUGGAAGGCUGUGUGUUCAAUAAUGAAUGUGUGUGUGUGUGUGUGUGUGCAGGGCUGGGUGUGUGGCCUGUGUUUGGACGUGUCGGUGGUGAGUCUGCAGGGCACUUUUGAAGGGGG
ensembl:lncRNA